rnacentral:misc_RNA from 1 species
GCGGACUACCGGGGUAUCUAAUCCUGUUUGCUCCCCACGCUUUCGAGCCUCAGCGUCAGUUACAGACCAGAGAGCCGCUUUCGCCACCGGUGUUCCUCCAUAUAUCUACGCAUUUCACCGCUACACAUGGAAUUCCACUCUCCCCUUCUGCACUCAAGUCUAACAGUUUCCAAAGCGAACAAUGGUUAAGCCACUGCCUUUAACUUCAGACUUAUUAAACCGCCUGCGCUCGCUUUACGCCCAAUAAAUCCGGACAACGCUCGGGACCUACGUAUUACCGCGGCGGCUGGCACA